rnacentral:rRNA from 1 species
CCUACGGGAGGCAGCAGUAGGGAAUAUUGGGCAAUGGACGAGAGUCUGACCCAGCCAUGCCGCGUGCAGGAAGACGGCGUUCUGCGUUGUAAACUGCUUUUAUCUGGGAAGAAAAGGCCCAUGCGUGGGACAUUGCCGGUACCAGAUGAAUAAGCACCGGCUAACUCCGUGCCAGCAGCCGCGGUAAUACGGAGGGUGCAAGCGUUGUCCGGAUUUAUUGGGUUUAAAGGGUGCGUAGGCGGCUGAUUAAGUCAGUGGUGAAAGUUUUGGGCUCAACCCAGAAAUUGCCAUUGAUACUGGUUGGCUUGAGUAUUGGAGGGGUACAUGGAAUUGAUGGUGUAGCGGUGAAAUGCAUAGAUACCAUCAGGAACACCGAUAGCGAAGGCAUUGUACUGGCCAAUAACUGACGCUGAUGCACGAAAGCAUGGGUAGCGAACAGGAUUAGAUACCCUGGUAGUCCAUGCCGUAAACGAUGAUUACUCGCUGUUAU